rnacentral:rRNA from 1 species
GACGAACGCUGGCGGCGUGCUUAACACAUGCAAGUCGAACGGGGCCCAAGCAUUAGCAAUAAUGUGGAAGGUCUAGUGGCGAACGGGUGAGUAACACGUGAGAAACCUAUCCUGGUCUCUGGGAUAACAGUCGGAAACAACUGCUAAUACCGGAUGACGUCGGAGUGUCGCAUGGCACGCUGACGAAAGGGUUACUGGAUCAGGAGGGUCUCGCGGCCUAUCAGCUAGUUGGUGGGGUAACGGCCUACCAAGGCAUCGACGGGUAGCUGGUCUGAGAGGAUGGAUCAGCCACACUGGGACUGAGACACGGCCCAGACUCCUACGGGAGGCAG